rnacentral:rRNA from 1 species
GAUGUACGCUGGCGGCGUGCCUAAUACAUGCAAGUCGAGCGAACUGACGAGAAGCUUGCUUCUCUGAUGUUAGCGGCGGACGGGUGAGUAACACGUGGAUAACCUACCUAUAAGACUGGGAUAACUUCGGGAAACCGGAGCUAAUACCGGAUAAUAUUUUGAACCGCAUGGUUCAAAAGUGAAAGACGGUCUUGCUGUCACUUAUAGAUGGAUCCGCGCUGCAUUAGCUAGUUGGUAAGGUAACGGCUUACCAAGGCAACGAUGCAUAGCCGACCUGAGAGGGUGAUCGGCCACACUGGAACUGAGACACGGUCCAGACUCCUACGGGAGGCAGCAGUAGGGAAUCUUCCGCAAUGGGCGAAAGCCUGACGGAGCAACGCCGCGUGAGUGAUGAAGGUCUUCGGAUCGUAAAACUCUGUUAUUAGGGAAGAACAUAUGUGUAAGUAACUGUGCACAUCUUGACGGUACCUAAUCAGAAAGCCACGGCUAACUACGUG